CUUAAGAGACCCGCAAGCUUUCUAGCGAGCGUGCGUGUGAGAGCACCGCCGACUGCCUCCCGCUGACAGUGUGACCCCAGCGCGCCAAGGCCAGCCGGCCACAUGCAGCAGCCUCCUGGCGGCGCGUCGGGUCAGCGCUGACAAUCUCCCCCUGGAGAGGGGCCCUGCGCUCCAGCUUCGACCCAGCCUGGCCGCCCAGGUCCUUGGGCUCCCCAACCCGCUCCGCCCCUCACCCAGCCAGGCACGAGGGCAAGUACCCGGACGAACCCCGCGCGCUGCCCCAAGCCCUGGAUCCCUCCCUUCCCACUGUCUUCAGCUUCCUCGAAAAAGCGGAAAAGCGGAAUCUGCAUGCCCAGAAACUCGCUUUGGGAGCCUAAGGAGUCCUACUGGGCAUGCUCAGGACUUGGGGCGCCUCGCGAGGAGGAACUCUCCAGCCGCCAACAUCUGCACGGCUGGGCCAGAUAAAAAUCUGUCUCCUGAGGGAAGAGCUGGGGAGACAACUCAUUGAACAGUCUAAAUACACAGGCCUACAGAAGUGGUACCUGAAACAUAGAGGCAAAGGAACCAAGAACCAGGAAUAGAGAGGCAGUAAAAUGAAAAGCCCAGUACAAUUAAUGUCACCUAAGAGGCAUGCCAAGAAUACAACAUGUGCACAACACCUGGAACAACAAACCAAACCAGCCUACAGAAGGGCAUAAAGGAGACACCAAAGAGGACAUCAUCUAUUUGGGCUCUUGUGAUUGCAGGUGAGAGCUGUUAAUUGUAGCAGCCAGGGAAAGAAGAUGGCAGAACAUAUCCAAGAAGAUUACCCUCCAGAGAACUACCAUCUUGAGGACAUCUGAAAGGAACGUGAUGGACACCAUGUGAUAAUCAAGCA